CUCCUCUUCAGUAUAGGAAAAUGGAUGUAAAUAGUGCGGUACUAGAAUUGAAGAAAGCAAAAAUGAAAGCACUUCAGGACCCAGCAACCAUUGGUUUGAACUGGAAAUUCACCGUUAAAGCUUCAAAAGAUGCAAAUGAAGUGAUCGUUCAAUCUUCCCCAUUCGCAUUGAUUGCUUCAAGCGGCUCUUUCGAGUUUGAAGACACUUCUGAUUUAAAAACGCGCCAGCAUAUGUCGUACGUGUCUGCUGAUAUCGUGAGGGCUAUGAUUUGGUUUGUGCACUCUGGCGAGGUAGACCCGGAAAUUAAGAAACUCGAUCAAGUUGUUCAAAUGGCAGAUUUAGCUCACCAAUUGGAAAUUGAGCCCCUAAAAGAUAUUUUUGUUUCGCGUGCUAUGCAUCAGAUGCAAAUUCAAGAUGUUUGGAAAGUUCUUGCUAUUGGCAGUGAUGUUGAUGAGCUACGCGGCUAUUGCGAUAUGAUACUCAUUCGUGAAACAGAAAAGUGUUUGGAAAUUGAGUGCUU